rnacentral:rRNA from 1 species
GACGAACGCUGGCGGCGUGCCUAAUACAUGCAAGUAGAACGCACAGUUUAUACCGUAGCUUGCUACACCAUAGACUGUGAGUUGCGAACGGCUGAGUGACGCGUAAGUAACCUGCCUGGUAUCGGGGGAUAACUAUUGGAAACGAUAGCUAAUACCGCAUAAUAUUGAUUAUUGCAUGAUAAUUGAUUGAAAUAUGCUAUUGCAUCACUACCAGAUGGACCUGCGUUGUAUUAGCUAGUAGGUGAGGUAACGGCUCACCUAGGCGACGAUGCAUAGCCGACCUGAGAGGGUGAUCGGCCACACUGGGACUGAGACACGGCCCAGACUCCUACGGGAGGCAGCAGUAGGGAAUCUUCGGCAAUGGACGAAAGUCUGACCGAGCAACGCCGCGUGAGUGAUGAAGGUUUUCGGAUCGUAAAGCUCUGUUGUAAGAGAAGAACGAGUGUGAGAGUGGAAAGUUCACACUGUGACGGUAUCUUACCAGAAAGGGACGGCUAACUACGUG